GACGUAGGGUGCGAGCGUUGUCCGGAAUUACUGGGCGUAAAGAGCUCGUAGGUGGUUUGUCGCGUUGUUCGUGAAAACUCACAGCUUAACUGUGGGCGUGCGGGCGAUACGGGCAGACUUGAGUACUGCAGGGGAGACUGGAAUUCCUGGUGUAGCGGUGGAAUGCGCAGAUAUCAGGAGGAACACCGGUGGCGAAGGCGGGUCUCUGGGCAGUAACUGACGCUGAGGAGCGAAAGCAUGGGGAGCGAACAGG
rnacentral:rRNA from 1 species